GACGUAGGGCGCGAGCGUUGUCCGGAUUUAUUGGGCGUAAAGAGCUCGUAGGCGGCUUGUCGCGUCGUCCGUGAAAACCCACAGCUCAACUGUGGGCUUGCGGUCGAUACGGGCAGGCUAGAGUUCGGUAGGGGAGACUGGAAUUCCUGGUGUAGCGGUGAAAUGCGCAGAUAUCAGGAGGAACACCGGUGGCGAAGGCGGGUCUCUGGGCCGAUACUGACACUGAGGAGCGAAAGCGUGGGGAGCGAACAGG
rnacentral:rRNA from 1 species